AUAAACAAGAAGAUUUGGGCUGAUGUGGCACGUUCUUAGGGCUUCUCAGGAUUCAUUUUGGCGGGAAAAUGAGUUGAGUUUUAUAUCAUCCGCGGAUACCCAUUUUGAUGUGAUCCGACCCGUUUUAUGACCCGGGUAUAUAAGUUACAUAAAAAAACCUAAUUUCCUGUAGCCCCAUUCUUUUCCUUCACCGCUUCACAACCAAACCCUAGCCUCCGUCUUCCUUGAAGCUUCUACAUCUAAUUUUCUCUGAAAAGAUAGGUGUCGCUUGUGCUUUGAAUCGACUGAUAAAGGAUUCCAAAAUCAAACCGAUUCACUUACAAAUGGUGGUGGCCUGAAAAGGAACGAUGACAACGACAUUGGUUGAUUUAGGUUUUCCCAGUGGUGGUCUUAUGAUGGUUGUGGUUUAACGCAACAACGAAAUGGCGGCGGCUAGGGUUUCACCAACACAUAAAUCGAUCUGGACCGACCGGUGUUGACGAAAAAGGAAUUACUCUUUGUUUUCGGAAGGAUGUUUGGGGGUUUAGCUAUGACAUGUUCUGAUAAACUUUCUGAUGUACCGACUAAUCUUUAGGUGCCCAAGGGAAAAUGGGUUCCUUUUUUUAAAAGUUUGAGUUGGAGAAUAUAUGUUCGGAAUUUCGCAUCAUACAUGCCUGUCACGUUGAUUUGUGAUCACCAUGUUAUUGAUGGUAUGUGUUGUUAUGGCUAUAAUUAUGUGUCUAAAUGGACUCGGUUGGGUAACGGGUCAGAUGGGUAUAUUUGUUGAUACAUAUAUUUGUUCAUGUAUAUUAUUUAAUCGAAAACAAUUAAUUAUAAACUAAUAAGAGUUCUAUUUUCUAUAUUGGUUGCUUUUUAAAGUAGGGGAAAAUGGUAAUGGGUCAACCUGAACCAUGACCUUUUUGCAAAAGUGCCAAAGGUUCAUGGUUCGGGUUGAAAAGAAAGAUUACUAAUUUAGUCAGCUAGAAGCCAAAUGUCAGGGUUGGAAAGAAAGAUUUUUAUUUAUUUAAAGUAACCGACAAAGUAAUAUUUGUUAAAUAUCUAACGGGUGAAACGGGUAUAAUAAUAAACAUGUCAAUGAGCCGAGUAUGUGAAACGGGUCUAAAUUUGGUUAAUUCGCUAUAAUAAGUUCUUAGGUUUUCUGUUUUUGGGGUUUAGGAUUAGGAAAAGUGUUGUUACCCUUUUACUAUAAUAGUUCAGUUCAUGUUUAUGUUUAAAGAUUUGAGCUAUGAUAAGCUAAAGCAUUAGUUACCCUUUUCCUAUAAUUUCUUGGAUGAGUUAAUAGAUUUCUUUAUUCAAAGCUAAAGAAGCAUAAACAAGAUUUAUUAGUUGAGAGGGUAGUAGAAGAGAAACGUGUUCAGGAUGGGUUCAAGAUUGUUAGGGAGGUGCUUCUUGAGUAAAAAACUAUAUCUAAUUCAAAAAAAUGUUUCAUUUCCUGAAAGAUUUUGGCUUUAUAAAGUUUCUAUCUGGUACAAGUGUUCAAGCUCUGAAAAUGUAUAAAAAAUUGCCAAAACUAGGUUCCGGUACCGGAAAUCGCCAAAACUAGGUACCGAUAACAAAAAUCGCCAAAACUGGGGGUACUGCUACCGAAAAUCGCCAAAACUAGGUAUCGGUACUGAAAAUGUUUUGUAUGGUACCGGUACCAGUACCGAUCGAUGUCGUACCGGUAUUUAAAUGUAAAAAAAUGGUAUUUUACUACCAAAAGUAUCGGUACCGAAAACGGCAAAAAGUGGGUUCCGAGUCGGUACUGAAAAUAAUUCGGUACAGUACUGGUCUCAAGUACCAAAUGCUCAUCCCUACCUUCUAUAUAAUAGUAGGUUAAUAUUUGUUUUUUUUUAUUUUAAACGGGUCAAACAUAUUAUGUUUUAAAUGAUUUAACUAAAGAGAAUGGGAUGAAUGAAUCUAACUGAUUAGAUGAGUCAAGCUUGGUCAAACGGUUUGAAACUUAGCGGAAGUGCAUGUAAAUACACCAAAACAUAAGAUGAGUCCUUAUAAAUGGUUACAAUACAUUGUAAUGAUACGAAUUUUGUGUAACCAAAAAUAGUAAAUGAUGUGUUUGUGGCCCAGUUUCCCAACCCAGUUCAACUCACACUAAUAAUUACACGUGUUGACCCAUUGCCACCUCCACUAUAAAGUUUGCAUAAUUUAUGUACGAAUAAAAGUUUCACGACUUAUUUUAAAACUGUGAAAGCAUCCAAACCGGUUAUCAUGUCCAGCACCAUAUGCAGCAACGACACAACAGGGAGCAAAGUUGAAGUUGAAGCAGAUUGUCAUCCACCUUUUACAAGGAAUGUGGUUCAAUAUUACACACCAGCUAGCUGGGCAGUUCGAUAGGGUACGCAACAGCUAACUGGGGAGUUUGAUUGGCUUUUACCCUAUGUUCAGAAACGGCUUGAUCAUCUCCUGUUCAAGAUGGGUCCUACUAGAAUCAAGAUUCAAGAGGUGAUCUUCAUCUAAGCGUCCCAGGCCUAGAGAACCAAGAGGAUGUCCUGCAUUAGGUGGUUCUGGGUUUGGUCCUCGGAUACCGUCUCCGGGGAUUAGGUGUGUUUUUACAUGUUUACAUAAAAAGUUUCAGAUUCUACCAUUCCUUUCUUCUCAUGCUCAAAUAACCUAAAACAUUCAUUCGUUUUCAUUCAGAGUAUCUAGAGGUCUUAAGUUGGUUAUUUAGUUUCCUUGAUAAUGGGUCAAACAAGUAAAAUCUGAAAAUUAUUCACAAAAAUAAAAUGGGUUAAAAAGAUUCAAGGGUCAAAAGCCGCCUAGCGUGUUCAAACGUAUACAUUAUCGAUGACACCAAGUCUUUUUUGGUUUAAUGGAGUUUAGGCAUUCAACGGAUCGAGAAGUUGCUAUCAUGAUACUCAUAGCUUAUCUUUCUUACAUGCUAGCUGAGGGAUAUCUUCCUCUUUGCUUAUGUUGCAAGUUUUUUUUCUUCCUUUAAUAGAAGUAAUUUCGACAUGUUUUGUUAUGAAUGAGUAAUUCGGGCCAUAACCCGUUUUCUUAUGAAUUGCAACAACAAAUUUGCCCACUAUAAUCCCAGUUAAUUUAACUAUUUUCUCAUGAACAAUACCAUAUCAAAUUUGCAAAUU